rnacentral:rRNA from 1 species
UACGUAGGGUGCGAGCGUUAAUCGGAAUUACUGGGCGUAAAGCGUGCGUAGGCGGUUCGUUAAGUCGAACGUGAAAUCCCCGGGCUCAACCCGGGAACUGCGUCCGAUACUGGCAGGCUUGAAUCCGGGAGAGGGAUGCGGAAUUCCAGGUGUAGCGGUGAAAUGCGUAGAUAUCUGGAGGAACACCGGUGGCGAAGGCGGCAUCCUGGACCGGCAUUGACGCUGAGGCGCGAAAGCCAGGGGAGCAAACGGG